GCGUGAGUGACGAAGGCCUUAGGGUCGUAAAGCUCUUUCGCCAGGGAUGAUAAUGACAGUACCUGGUAAAGAAACCCCGGCUAACUCCGUGCCAGCAGCCGCGGUAAUACGGAGGGGGUUAGCGUUGUUCGGAAUUACUGGGCGUAAAGCGCACGUAGGCGGACUGGAAAGUUGGGGGUGAAAUCCCGGGGCUCAACCUCGGAACUGCCUCCAAAACUACUAGUCUAGAGUUCGAGAGAGGUGAGUGGAAUUCCGAGUGUAGAGGUGAAAUUCGU
rnacentral:rRNA from 1 species